GACGUAGGGCGCGAGCGUUGUCCGGAUUUAUUGGGCGUAAAGAGCUCGUAGGCGGCUUGUUGCGUCGGCUGUGAAAACCCGUGGCUUAACUGCGGGCUUGCAGCUGAUACGGGCGGGCUGGAGUUCGGUAGGGGAGACUGGAAUUCCUGGUGUAGCGGUGAAAUGCGCAGAUAUCAGGAGGAACACCGGUGGCGAAGGCGGUUCUCUGGGCAUGUCCUGACGCUGAGGAGCGAAAGUGUGGGGAGCGAACAGG
rnacentral:rRNA from 1 species